GGAGAGGUGCUGGAGUGGCUGAACAGGGGCGCCUGCUAAGCGCCUGGACGGCUUAACACCGUCCCGAGGGUUCGAAUCCCUCCCUCUCCGCCA
rnacentral:tRNA from 1 species